rnacentral:lncRNA from 1 species
CACAGUAUUUUUAUUUAUUUAUUUAUUUUUGUAUGGUGCCAAGGAUCGAACCCAGUGCCUCACACAUGCUGAGCAAGUGCUCUACCACUGACCCACAACCCCAGCCCAGUAUAGUUAUUUUAUAAGCAAAAUUCACCAGUGGAAAUUAGGAUUUGUGGGUGUAAAUUUGAGAAUGACAAGAAUAUUUGCAUAGUCUCAAAGUAUUUUCCUCAAUAUAUUUAUUAGUUAUAAGACAACACAGAGAGAGUGUCUUUACAGUAGAAACCAUGAACAGCACAUGUGUUUACGGGAUGAAGAAGGCAAGGGUUACCUGCGUGAUCCCAGCUGGGGAAGUGCGUAUUGAGACUGAGUUCUGCUGCUUGUGUGAACAUCUGUGAGCAAGCCUGUGAGCACCUCGAGGGUUUCCAAGUAGGAAAGUGCAUAGUAACAGGGAUCUGUGAGCAGAGAAGAUGGACUACUCAUUUACUAUGUGGUCCUUUUAGAAAAGCUUGCCAGCCC